rnacentral:lncRNA from 1 species
CCCGCCCCGAGGCUGUCGCGGGCGGUUAGGUCCGGCGGGAGCUUCUGUUUCACUGGCGCGCCCACUAUGACGAUCACCUACAGCUGCAUUGCUAAUGGCCGAAUGGUCUUAGCGGAGUUGGCCCUGACCGGCGGCUCCUAUCAGGAAGCAGCGUCAACAGUGCUUAGACUAGUGCUUCUUAGAGCUGAACCAAAGACCGUAAUUCAAAUGGGAAGCUUCGUCUACCAUACUCUCUUUAUUGAUGGAAUCACUUACCUAUGUGCCUCAGACAAUGCCCUGGAUACUGUAACACCAUCUGCAUUUCUCAAAAAUGUUAGUGAUACUUUUCUGAGAAAUCCUUUGCUGUCAGAAGAAUAUUUUUCUCCUUCAAAUGCAGUUGCUGCAGAUUUUCAACAAGUAUUAGGAAAGUAUAUGGUAAAAUACAAUAAAAACCAAGAUAACAGCUCUAUAUCCACCCUGAGGAGUCAAGUAACUGAUGUAAAAAAUGCUAUGACCCAAAAUAUUGAUAAAAUUUUGGAGAGCGAAGAAAGAUCAAAUAUCUUCCCCGACAGUACAGAUGAUCUUCAAACAGCUAUCUUUUCUGGAAACACAGCCACCAUAUAAAGCAAAGUACACACAUUCUUCGUACUCACCAAGUUCUAUUGAUUCCACCUCCUAAAUCUUUUUUUGGUUUUAGCCUUACUUUUUCACUUUUAAAAAUAAUUUA